ACGUAGGGGGCGAGCGUUGUCCGGAGUUACUGGGCGUAAAGGGCAUGCAGGCGGUCCGACACGUUUUGUGUGACAGCGGGUGGCUUAACUACCCGAGGAUACGAAAGACGGUUGGACUUGAGGACUCGAGAGGGACACGGAAUUCCGGGUGGAGUGGUGAAAUGCGUAGAGAUCCGGAGGAACACCGAAGGCGAAGGCAGUGUCCUGGCGAGUGACUGACGCUGAGGUGCGAAAGCCAGGGGAGCGAACGGG
rnacentral:rRNA from 1 species